UACAGAGGAGCCAAGCGUUGUCCGGAUUGACUGGGCGUAAAGCGCACGCAGGCGGUCGCGCGCGUGGGGUGUGAAAUCUGGCCGCUUAACGGCCAGGCGCCAUCCCAUACGGCGCGACUCGAGCCAUGCAGAGGGCGGUGGAAUUGCCGGUGUAGUGGUGGAAUGCGUAGAGAUCGGGAAGAACAUCGGUGGCGAAGGCGGCCUGCUGGGCCGUUGCUGACGCUGAGGCGCGACAGCGUGGGGAGCAAACAGG
rnacentral:rRNA from 1 species